AUUGAACGCUGGCGGCAUGCCUUACACAUGCAAGUCGAACGGCAGCACGGGAGCAAUCCUGGUGGCGAGUGGCGAACGGGUGAGUAAAGUAUCGGAACGUGCCCAGUCGUGGGGGGUAACGUAGCGAAAGUUACGCUAAUACCGCGUACGAUCUAUGGAUGAAAGCGGGGGAUCGCAAGACCUCGCGCGAUUGGAGCGGCCGAUAUCAGAUUAGGUAGUUGGUGGGGUAAAGGCUCACCAAGCCGACGAUCUGUAGCUGGUCUGAGAGGACGACCAGCCACACUGGGACUGAGACACGGCCCAGACUCCUACGGGAGGCAGCAGUGGGGAAUUUUGGACAAUGGGCGCAAGCCUGAUCCAGCCAUGCCGCGUGCAGGAUGAAGGCCUUCGGGUUGUAAACUGCUUUUGUACGGAACGAAAAGGUUUGACUUAAUACGUUGGACUCAUGACGGUACCGUAAGAAUAAGCACCGGCUAACUACGUGCCAGCCGCCGCCGUAAGAC
rnacentral:rRNA from 1 species